AUUUGAUGGGGCCAAGAGGGUCCAAACCCUGCUAACAUACCACUUUAUUCAACUCCUUUACUUUCCUAGCCGGUUGAGGAGGGACCAUGAGAACAGAAAUUACCUUGUGACAAGACAAGUGUUCUCAGUUUUCUCCUCACAUAUUGACGGUUUAUUUCCCUGGCCUCCUAGAAGGCUGAAUCCUUUUGACUCCUUGCUGUCUGACUCCUCAGUGGACUUGUUCCUCCAAAGCAGAACCCGGGAGGUUGCUAUCUGCCAGAAGCCUAGGCCAGCCAGAUACCACCAUUUGCUGCUUCAGGCUUGCCUGCCUGUUGUGAUAACCAGCUCUUAGGUAUUUCCUUUCCCUGAGGCUUUCCAUUUAACAUGGAAUCCUUCUCCCCAAGAAGGCUUCUUCCUUGUUUUAGAGGAAGGUACUGCCUUUUUGGACUUAGGGAUGUCAUGGGACCUCAGUAACGAGGACCCCUAAUUUAUAAAGUACCAGAAAUGUGGGGAAGAAAGCAAUUUGAGCAGUAUGUAGCCUACUCACAUGGGCUCUUUUUCAGGUUUGAUGUAAGCAUAGGCUUGCAUAUUCCCAAGGUACAUACUUUGACUUAAAUGUGGGAUAACUCAGCACUAAUGGGCAGGUAAAGUCACAACUGUGGUUAUUUUGGUUUUGUUUUGGUUUUUGGUUUUUUUAUCCUUUUACUCCAAUACUCCCCCUGUCACUUUGCCUGGAGGUGCUUCAAGCCUUUAACAAGGAGCAGAGAAGAAUUGGAGCCAGACUUUAGUGAACUCAGCUCAGAGUUGUAAGGACCAGCACACUGGUGGCCAUUUUCUGCACAAGCAAAUGGAAUUGCUUUUUUUCAGCAUCCCAAUUGUUAUAGGUUGCUCCUGAUAGAGGUAGCCACAGUCCUGGAGUACCAUAGGGUGAUGUUCCUUCUGCAUGCAUCUGCAGGGCCUGUGAGAUCUGGUGUAAAAAGAGACAUGACAUGUGGAGAUGGGACUUAGUGUGUGAGGCAUAGGGUCAUUGGAGAUUCUUCAGACUCGGGGGAGACUGAAUUGGAUGCCUCUCUCAUCCCAGCACACUUCUAAUAGACCCCUUCAGUCACGGAGGGAGUGCCCCAAGGUUGGACAGGCACAUUCCCCUUGGACAGAGACUGCAAGUUGUGGCUUAUUUUCCUGUUCCCUAAACCGAUCCCUAUUCCAUCAACAUGGCACCCUGCCUCAUUGGCUAAGUGUUAAGUGAUGGGCUUAUUCUUGAAAGCAGCUUGGGGUGUCUUUUUAAAAUGUAGAAAAAAAUGUAAAGUGACAGUUAAGGAAAAACAACAUAUUAAAAUAUCAGAAAAACUGUUUACCCAGAGAAUUAUUUUCUCCCCACUUUUAUUUUUACUCAGUGACAUAAUUUUUAGUUUUAUUCCUCAUAGCAAAAGGAAAAAAAAAAUCCCAAUCCUCAAAAGGUCAAGGCCCCGUCCCCUGUUGUCGGUGAUUUGUUUGUCUUUCUGAUAGGUUGAAAAUUGUGUAAUAAACUUGAUGACGAUGUC
rnacentral:lncRNA from 1 species